rnacentral:rRNA from 1 species
AACGAACGCUGGCGGCAGGCUUAACACAUGCAAGUCGAACGCAUCGCAAGAUGAGUGGCAGACGGGUGAGUAACGCGUGGGAACAUACCCUUUUCUACGGAAUAGCUCUGGGAAACUGGAAUUAAUACCGUAUACGCCCUACGGGGGAAAGAUUUAUCGGGGAAGGAUUGGCCCGCGUUGGAUUAGCUACUUGGUGGGGUAAAGGCCUACCAAGGCGACGAUCCAUAGCUGGUCUGAGAGGAUGAUCAGCCACAUUGGGACUGAGACACGGCCCAAACUCCUACGGGAGGCAGCAGUGGGGAAUAUUGGACAAUGGGCGCAAGCCUGAUCCAGCCAUGCCGCGUGAGUGAUGAAGGCCUUAGGGUUGUAAAGCUCUUUCACCGAUGAAGAUAAUGACGGUAGUCGGAGAAGAAGCCCCGGCUAACUUCGUGCCAGCCGCCGCUGUAAGAC